rnacentral:lncRNA from 1 species
AAGGCUUCAAAUGUAUUUUAAUAAGGUGAUGCUGCAUUACUGCUCCAUUUCUCAGAAAAAUUUUCAAAUUGAAGGGGUCAUAUAUGAGAUAUAACAGAACCGUAUGUAUGCUGUGACCUCUGUGGACAUUGUCUGAAUUCUCACCUGGGAGUGAAUGGAGGAAUUGGGCUGGGUCAUUGGAGCAUGUUUAGGUUUUGUGGUAUACAUGGCAGUGUCUCUGGGGUUGAGGGGAAUAAAGAUGAAAAAUUAAAGGAUGAGAGGAUGAGGGGGGGAGAGGAAG